GAUAAACGCUAGCGGCAGGCUUAAUACAUGCAAGUCGAGGGGCAGCAUGAUUGUAGCAAUACAAUUGAUGGCGACCGGCAAACGGGUGCGGAACACGUACACAACCUUCCAAUAAGUGGGGAAUAGCCCAGAGAAAUUUGGAUUAAUACCCCGUAACAUAACGAUGUGGCAUCACAUUGUUAUUAUAGAUUUUUCGCUUAUUGAUGGGUGUGCGGCUGAUUAGAUAGUUGGCGGGGUAACGGCCCACCAAGUCUACGAUCAGUAGCUGAUGUGAGAGCAUGAUCAGCCACACGGGCACUGAGACACGGGCCCGACUCCUACGGGAGGCAGCAGUAAGGAAUAUUGGACAAUGGACGCAAGUCUGAUCCAGCCAUGCCGCGUGAAGGAUUAAGGUCCUCUGGAUUGUAAACUUCUUUUAUAAGGGACGAAAAAAGGUCUUUCUAGAUCGUCUGACGGUACCUUAUGAAUAAGCACCGGCUAACUCCGUGCCAGCAGCCGCCGUAAGAC
rnacentral:rRNA from 1 species